rnacentral:tRNA from 1 species
GGCGAAUUUUGAAGAAGGGAAGGAUUAUGUCACUGUCGCUGGCAUCAACGAAGCACAAAAGCCUGUGCUGCGUGAGUUCUUCUCCUAUAAUUGCCC